rnacentral:rRNA from 1 species
AUGCCACUAAAGUUUUGGGAUGAGGCGUUCCUCACUGUCGUUCACAUCAUCAAUAUGCUUCCAAGCCGUGUCAUCAAUAAUGAAACACCUACAGAAAAACUUCUCCAUACCAAACCAGACUACACUUUCCUUCAUGUGUUUGGCUGCACUUGUUGGCCUAAUCUUAGACCCUAUAACAAACGCAAACUAAUGUUUCGAUCUAAGCAGUGUGUUUUCAUUGGCUACAGUGCCAUGCACAAAGGUGUCAAAUGCCUAGAUGUCUCUACUGGCCGUGUCUACAUUUCCCGUGAUGUAGUCUUUGAUCAAACAAAGUUUCCCUUUGCCGAUCUCCACCCCAACGCCGGCGCCUUACUUCGUCAAGAAAUUCUGCUCUUGCCUUCUCAUGUCACCAAUUUUGAUCAAAGGGGGAAUAAUAAUUGUGUUGAUCCAUCAUUGACUAAUCCUCAUAACCAUGUGCAUGAGCUCUGUGUUGGUGCAGCCGAAGGAAGCAUGAGCAAAAAUAGUGAAGAAAUCAGCCAAAAUGAUCAAGAAAUCAGUUCAAAUGGGCAAUAUUUGAUGUGUCCAGAUUUGGGCAGCAAAUCUGCCUCGGGAUCGCUGCUGCAGCACCUGCCCAGGCCAUCUGCCUCGGGAUCUGCACCACUGCAUGGCGCCAGCGUGUCAGAAACCGCGUCGCCCACCAGGAGAAGCGGCGCCGUCUCCCCAGGCGCCACGUAG